rnacentral:lncRNA from 12 species
GUUGACGCACGUCUCGCUGUGCGCGCGCACGCACGUACACACAUAGCGUCUCCUGUAGCUUUAAACAGCGCUCGCUCACUCGCUCGCUCAGUCAGGGAGGGCAAGAGAGAGAGAGAGAGCGGGAGGAGGAGGAGGAGUGUGAACGUUGCGGAGUUCUCGGGGAUUCCGAGAAUAUACAGUUCAGACUCAGACUCGACAGUGACCGACGAGUUUUUGGACUCUACUUCCAUUUGGCGCCGCUCAAGCUCGGAUAGCGGAAUCAGGUUCCCGUGUGGCUACAUCUGAGAUCAGAAGAGCAAACAGGCAUCACUGAGCCUUUGGUUCCUCCCAGAAGAUCUCCCAAACAUUGUCAUUAUGACAGAGAAACCUCCUCAUUCCUCUGACUGUGCUUACAACAUAUUUUAAAGCAGUGUGGAUUUACUCAUAGAAUGCACAGUGAUGCCAGCUGGGUUUUCAUGCUUGACAUUACAAAUGCCCACUGGUCUUGUAUGUAAAGCCCUUUGACUGAAAAGGAACAAAAUCCAAAGCACUGCUGGAGUUCUCUGCUCUUUUCAUUUAUGGCACAGAUCUUAAGACAUUUUCAUUAGGUGUAAAACAUCACAUC